UUGCUCUUCAACGAGGAAUGCCUAGUAAGCGCAUGUCAUCAGCAUGCGUUGAUUACGUCCCUGCCCUUUGUACACACCGCCCGUCGCUACUACCGAUUGAAUGGCUUAGUGAGGCCUUCGGACUGGCCCCAGGAGGUCGGCAACGACCACCCAGGGCCGGAAAGUUCGUCAAACUACGUCAUUUAGAGGAAGUAAAAGUCGUAACAAGGUUUCCGUAGGUGAACCUGCGGAAGGAUCAUUACCGAGUUCUCGGGCUUCGGCUCGAAUCUCCCACCCUUUGUGAACAUGCCUCUGUUGCUUCGGUGGCUCCCGAGCGCAACCCCCCCGGGGUGCGACCGCGACCGCCGGAGGACCUCAAAACUCCAGUCAGUAAACGUCUACGUCUGAUAAAAAAGUCAAUAAAUUAAAACUUUCAACAACGGAUCUCUUGGUUCUGGCAUCGAUGGAGAACGCAGCGAAAUGCGAUAAGUAAUGUGAAUUGCAGAAUUCAGUGAAUCAUCGAAUCUUUGAACGCACAUUGCGCCCCUUGGUAUUCCGAGGGGCAUGCCUGUUCGAGCGUCAUUACAACCCUCAAGCUCUGCUUGGUAUUGGGCGUCGUCCUCUCGCGGACGCGCCUCAAAGACCUCGGCGAUGGCGUCCAGCCCUCAAGCGUAGUAGAAUAUACACCUCGCUUUGGAGCGGUCGGGCGUCGUCCGCCGGACGAACCUUCUGAACUUUUCUCAAGGUUGACCUCGGAUCAGGUAGGGAUACCCGCUGAACUUAAGCAUAUCAAUAAGCGGAGGA
rnacentral:rRNA from 1 species